rnacentral:rRNA from 1 species
UAUGCACGCUGGCGGCGUGCCUAAUACAUGCAAGUCGAGCGAACAGACGAGGAGCUUGCUCCUCUGACGUUAGCGGCGGACGGGUGAGUAACACGUGGAUAACCUACCUAUAAGACUGGGAUAACUUCGGGAAACCGGAGCUAAUACCGGAUAAUAUAUUGAACCGCAUGGUUCAAUAGUGAAAGACGGUUUUGCUGUCACUUAUAGAUGGAUCCGCGCCGCAUUAGCUAGUUGGUAAGGUAACGGCUUACCAAGGCAACGAUGCGUAGCCGACCUGAGAGGGUGAUCGGCCACACUGGAACUGAGACACGGUCCAGACUCCUACGGGAGGCAGCAGUAGGGAAUCUUCCGCAAUGGGCGAAAGCCUGACGGAGCAACGCCGCGUGAGUGAUGAAGGUCUUCGGAUCGUAAAACUCUGUUAUUAUGGAAGAACAAAUGUGUAAGUAACUAUGCACGUCUUGACGGUACCUAAUCAGAAAGCCACGGCUAACUACGUG